GGCACCCAUGUUGCCAUCAAGGCCCCAUCUGUAGACGAGGCCCUGUAUUUCAACAGGAAAAGGUAUCACUCCCUGAACAUCCAACUUGUUUGUGAUGCUGAUGGAGUGAUACUCAGUUACUGCUCCAGAUUCCCAGGUUCUACACAUGACGCCUUCGUGUGGGCCAACUCUGAGCUGAAACAGCGGUUUCAGGAAGGGGAGUUUGGGGACUUCCUGCUUGUUGGUGACAGUGGGUAUCCCCUUGAGCCCCAUCUCAUGGUGCCAGUGAGCAACCCCUCCACUGAAGCGGAGAACCGCUACAACAGGGGGCAUGCCCAAACGAGGGUGAUUGUUGAGCAGACGAUUGGGAUGUUGAAGAGUCGCUUUAGGUGUCUGCACUCUUCUGGGGGAACACUGCAAUAUGCACCCAUCAAGUGUGCAAAAAUUGCAAAUUCAUGCAUGCUACUGCACAAUCGCUGCAUCAAGCGUCGUAUUCCUAUUCCUUCUGAUCUUCCACCAGUAGACAACGAGGAAGUGCCCCAGGCUGCCGUCAUCCGUGCUGUGCAGAGAGGGCAGCGAGGACUUGGCAGAGCUGUGCAGCAGGAGAUUAUACAGCAUUUU